rnacentral:lncRNA from 1 species
GGCAAAUCCACAUUAUGCUCGUGUAAUUGGAUCUCGAAUUUACUCUGAUGUAAGUAUCUUAAUUAAUAUAGAUCUCAAUAUUCAUGCUUAUAUAAAAUAUAUACAUGUAUUUAAAUGUAUAUAUGUGCCUUUAUGUAAGAAUGAGAAAAGUUUCUUUACCCAGAGACUUACUCUUGGAACAGUUACUCAAUAAUACCACUGAAAAAUAAAUUCAUGUGCAAAUAUGAGUGUACAAAAAUUUAUUUUGCAUAAGUUGUUAUUUAUAUCUUUCCAGUAUGUCUUUUCACCACAUUUUUGUUUGCAUUGUAGUUGUACAUAAUGAUUGGAUUUGUUGUUACACAUUCCUAUAUAUACACAAUAUGACAAUAUGAUUUGGCCAAUAUUACUCCCUAGCAUAUAUCUUUUUCAUGUAUUUUAUAUCAGGCACUUAAAGAAAUAACCUUGGAGGCAUUAUUGGGAAGGAAAAUGCAUUUUUAUUUUCUCUUCCUUUUAAUUCGUCUACAUCUUAAGUAUAAAUUGGAUGAUUACGAAUUUGCUAAACAUAUAGAAUUUGCUAAAUGCAUAGAAAGUAUUCUAGUGGUUACAUGACUAUAUGUUUGACAAAGUCACUUAACUGUAUGCCUUUUUAAAAAAGGUUGAAUUGGUAAAUUUUACUCUAUGUAAAUUAUUCCUUAAUAAACUUAGUUGAAAAAUUUAAAAAGAUCUGUUUGAGAAAUAGCUUAGAAUACAAAUCAGAUCAUUCCCUAAAGUACAAAAGGAAACUAAUAGCAUGUAUGCUGUAAGUAGAUGACUUAAGAGGGUUGAACAAUGAAUAUUAACCAUGAUGGUUUCCUUCUGGAUAAAUGUACUUUGAGCAAGGUUUAAAGUGUUGGUUGGUAGAGGGGAUUAUGGAACAUUCUGGGUGGUUUGCAUGAUAUCUACAAAUACAUGGAUUAAAUGUGUUUCUCGUAGCCAUAGCUUGAAAAUUGGAGCUAAGAGGGACCACAGCCAAAUUAGUCUGAGAGAGAGAGGAAUCUGCUCUGGGAAUGUACAGGUGAAGACGCUGAAAGUCAUGCUGAUGAGUUUAGAUUUCAUGCUGUAGACAUUUAGAAACCAUCACAGAUUUCUAAGCCAAAGAGUUACAAAAAUAAAUUUAAGAAUCUUCUUGUUUUGAUUUUUUAGUUUGUUCUAAUUAGUUAUACAUGAUAGUAGAAUGCAAUUUGACACAUUGUACACAAAUGGAGCACAACUUUUUAUUCUUCUGGCUGUACAGAGUAUAGGGUCACACCAAUAGUGUAGCUAUGCAUGUAUAUAGGGUAAAUCCAUCUCAUUCUACUGUCUUUUGCAUCACCAACCCUCCUACCCCUCCCCUCACUCCCCUCUACACAAUCCAAAGUAAGAAUGUACUUAUUCAAUAGAAUACUACAAGAAUCUGCUUGUAUAAAGAAGCCUGAAAUAUGCAUAUUACCACCUUGUCUCUUUUGAAACAUUCAUUUGGGUCCAAGGUUUUCUCAAAUUCAGCAAUUUGAAAUGAUUCUCCCAUUCUAAGCUUUACAUGCUUUAGAUUUGCAAUUUGCAUUAUUACUGUCUGCAGCUUAAAUGUCCUACAGAUACCUGGAAUUUGCUAGUCCUCACAUUUGUGCUUAUAUUCUUAUCUCUUUGAAAUACACCCUUUUUGAAAUUUUUCUGUCAAAAUCAUGGCUGUUUCUUAUAUUCCAAAUUAUUGCUACUUUCUCUGUGAGGUACCUUGCUGGCCCUCCUAAUUCAAGCAUGAAUUCAUCCUGCUUUCAUCUCCUAUUGUGUUGUCUUUACCACUUUACCUAUUUUGUUAGGUAUCCUGUUGGUUACCCUGUCUCUCUUAUUAGUUUGUGAGUUCCUCAAGGGCAGCAGCUGUGCUGUCCAUCAUUUCUUCAUCACUUCUUCGGUAUCUGCCAAGUUAUGCUUGUUUCUGCUCUGACAGAACCUAGAGCACACAGUGGCAUCAGACACUAAGCAAAUAUCUUACACAUAAAUAUUUGCUGAAAACAACUAAUUAAUAUGUAGGAAUGUGUCUAUCUAGACUCUUUAGAGACUUCCAGAAAUGUUGUUUCUUCGGAUUUUCCCAUUAAGCAUCAGAACUUUUAAUUUUAGUCAUGCCUGUAAAAAAAAUCUUUCAGAAUAGCCCAUUCAGUUCUGUACCUUGAAGCCAUCAUUUUCUAGAAUUAGAGUUUGUUAGAUCUUGUAUCCUGAGAUCAUUUUAUCUUCCUAUCUCAGUGAAGUGGGUAGAUAAUAUGUAUCAUUAUUUGGUUCUUUAGGGAGUAAGUUGGCAAUAAAAAAAUUACAGUCACAUGGGGAGUGCAGAGUCAGAUUAAACCAAUAAUUUCCAGGGUUCCCAGCUCCUACAAUAUAUAUGAUCCCUUCAAAUAAGGUUGAUAUGGAAAGAUGAGCAUGAGUCAACCAAAUUGCCUCCCUCUGGCUUUCUCUUUCUCUCCGCCCUCUCCUACUUUACACUGCAGAGUUAGAACGUGCACAUUUUACUGCCUUGAAUUUUUAUUUGUAGUUUAUUACAGAUUGUUAAUUUCACAUUCAUUAAAAAAUUCCACUAUAUGCCUGGAGAAAAUUCUUAUUUCUUUCAAAUAAUAUAUUCUUACAAAGUAUGGAUAUGGAUAAAAUAAAUAAAACUUCUGACUUUUGAACUCAGCUGGAAUGCCUGCUGACUGCAGAGCUGUAAGCGAAACAAUAGUCUCAAAACAUAGUAAAAGUGUUUGGAUUUAGUGAAUGUUAUCAUCUAAGCACUUUUGUUGCCUUGGGGGGAAAAAUGCUGAUAUUACCCUUUUAACAGAAGAGCAAAAAUAUGUGUACAGAACUGUUUCUAUUUCCAUCUGUUAUGAACUGUAUUUGGAUACGAUUAUGAAUUCAGUGUGGGCCUUUCAUAUGGUCAAUAAAAUGCCUCCUUAGAGUCUGGACACAAGGUUUUAGAUGUGUGGUAUUUUUGUGAGAUAGGAAAAGCCUGAGAAGGAUUAAACAGCCUGGCUGCAGACUCUUUGAGCUAAUAAAUACUGACUGAUGGCACAGAGUUCAGAGCACAGCGAGAAAGCAAGGUCACGUACGAUAUACACGCUUAUGUGAACUUUAAAAAAGCAUAUUCAAUCACCCACAUGUGCAGAGAGAUAAGAACAGAACAUGCCAAUGAGACUGGGAAAGACCCAUGGGGAUUUGAGGUGGGUGGCUCUAUACUGAAACAGUUCAGGCAUUUCCUGUUAUGGGAUUCCCUUAGGCUGCACUCAGCUAUCGACAAAUUUUGGUAGAACAUUUGGCUUAAAGCCAAUAGUAAAAUCUAGGAAAGACUGUGAUAGGUCAAAAGAAAUUAUUUGACUUUUUAGGAUUCAUUUAAAAAUGUUGAAAGUAUUAGACUUGAAACAGUAAUUUUCUCCUUCAUAGAAAUUGUAUUAAAUUCAGAUUAUGUAACUGGUACAUUGUAAACAAAGCCAUUUUUCUAAUACUCAUGUCAGGUCCUUCAAACCAGAGUAAUAAUAACCAUUGCAAAUUUAAGUAGAAGCUAUAAUUUUUCCUUUUUGUCACAAAUAUUUUAUUAGUGCAUUAUAAUUACACAUAAUAGUGGAAUUCAGUGCUACAUAUUUGUAAAUGCACACAAUAUAACAGUGUAAUCUGUAAUCUGGUCACUUUGUGUUAUUCUGUAGGGCAAAACAUUUCUGCAUAGAUUGUAUUAUGUAAUAGGAAAAAAAUCCCCAUUUAAUAUAUGACCAUAUUUUGGCAAAUGGACCAUAGAGAUAAUAUAGAACUAAGGUUAUAUGGAAGUCCAAACGGAACAUGAAUGAGGCACAGAUAAUCCAACCUAUGAACAUUUCAGCAGACUGAUUUCAGUAUGCAUCAGCAAAGGGUAAAAUUUAAUAAUGACAAAUAGGACCCUGAGGAGAUAAAAGGACCUAAUUUGCUUUUUUAUUGCUUUGACUAUAAAAGCCUGUUUUUUGUAUAGCACUAGUAUUUGUAGAUUAGAUGGUGGAAGGGUGUUACCAUGGCAGCCACCCUUAAGAUCUUCCUUCAGACUUUCUCAGGAUUGGCUUUGACUUUGUGCCUUUUGAAACAUUCCUUUAUAUGCCAAACAUUGUCCAGUAACUCCUAAAUGGCUGCAUAGACAGAUGUCAGAAGUAGAAGAAUAGGCUGGGCAAGUUCCGCAGUACUUUCCUAAUAGUGGCAUGUUUUUCUCCUUGCCUCCUCAGCUGUCCAGUAUCUGCAGAGCAGCAGUACAUGCUGGAGUGGUUCGAAAUCAUGGUGGUUAUGUUGAUGUUAUGCCUGUGGACAAAAGGAAGACUUACACGGCGUCUUUUCAGAAUGGAAUCUUCUCAGAAAGGUAAAAACAAGCAUGUGUGUAUGUGUAUGUGUGUGUGCAAUUGUUUUCAUGUACCUACCUUGUGAUGUAUGGUUGCUUCACAGCAGACCCACUUGCACAUGAUUUCAUUAGGCGACCCAGCUUGGAUGUUUCCUUUACAUACUUGUGUAACAAUUGGUUUUCCAGGGGUGGGAGAAUCUGCAGUACCAGAGGUGCCUGUCUCCUGCAGGCUUAUAAAAAUCAACAUGAAAAUCGGAUUACAAGUCAGAACCACUCUUUUGUUAAUUGCUCUUAUAAUUAGGAAAUUUCUUUCAUCCUCUUUUGGAUUUUCUAGAUUAGGUUUUAUACUUAAUUCUUUCUCGAUGAACAAGGCACUGAAUAUUUCUCUAAUCCAGUUAUCUGACAAAGUAUUUGACAAAAACAAUGAGUCUGAUUUUCCCUAGAACCAAAUUCUCUUUUGCACUGGAACUUGGAUGCCUUGCAUGUUGUAAACGAACUCUUUCAGGUCCUCUCAUGGUAUUUAGCUCAUUAGUGUUAUAUAUACUUGGGGAUUUGAGAAAAAUUCAUGUGGCUCACCUUGUCAAGUGUUAAUAAACAAUAAGAUAAAUGAACCUUCAAUGAUUUUUUUUUAAAUAAUUGGUACUUUGGAAGUAAUGUUAUGUCCCACUUAUUUGUAUAGACACAGAAUAAAAUCCCUUUUAGAUGUUUCCUGGGAUUUUCAAAAUUACCAAUGGAGGAUUCGUAUAUCAACUAGUUACUCUAAAGUACACCACAAGAUAUGACAUGCAGAAUAUCUAGAUUGUCUUUCACAUAACUAUCUGGGUAUCAGCCUCAUAAAAAGACAAAUCUGCAUUUAGUAUCUAUAUUCAGAUGAGAUCAUAUCAAGAGGCCAUUAUUGAGAGGGGGAUUUCUCAAUAACUUGCCUCCUGGCCUUGAGAAUCAGAUAUGAUAUGCAAAGUGAAUUAUUGAGUUUAUAGAAUCUGAUAUUUCCUUUUGUAAGCUAACCUGAGUGAUAUGAUUCCAUUCACUGCUUAUAUUUCUUAAAUUCAUCUUAAAGCUAUAAAAUGACAUUCUAACAAAACUGAGAAUAAUAAUUUUGGAGUACCUAAUAUGAAUAUUCCAGACACUAGACACUACUAUACUCUGAGAAUUCUCUCUCAACUUCACUAAAAGCCCCAUGAUAUCAAUUCAGUUCUGUAAACUCUGAUGUUUAUACAUGUUAACUGGUGUUCCAAGUUGAUUAAAUAAUUGACUUGCCCAAGGUCACAUAGCUUAAUAAUCCCUGAACUCAGGCUCCACACUAGGGCUAUGGGCUCAGAGAUAAACCUUGAACUUGACCAUUUGCUUGUGUGAAAAACUUGGUGCAUGUGUGUCCAUCCAUCCAUUUGGUGUGUGUGUGCACAUUUGUGGUUUCUGCAUCAUUUUCUUUCUUUAAAAUUCUCUUCCUUUUGUUACAUAUAUAUAAAUAAAUACAUGAAAGCACUUACACUUUAUCUCUUUCUUACCAUUUGUUGUAUUGAUCAUUUAUUGUCUUUAAAAUCUUUUAAAAUUAUUAAGCCAAUAGAACUAUGUAAAAAAGCAAAAACUUCAAAAGCUUCUAGUUUAAAGAUGAAAUAAUGAUUAGUGGUCUUAUCAAUAUGUUUUAAUUUCUAGAAAUUUAAACAAAAUGUAGUUUAAUCAUUGAUGCCAAAUAAAAAAUAAACAAUUUAAUAAAGAGUAGAAUUUAUGGUUCUCAUUACUUUUAACUCUGUUUUAAAAGUACCUCCAAAAUGACACUGCAUGCUUUGUGGUGUGUGUGUAUGUGUAUGUGUGUGUAUUUUUCCAUUUUGGUGAAGAAAUUUUUGAAUCUUUUCAGACUUCACCAUUAAAUUCUCCUGCUAAUAUUUUUCUUGAGAAUGUGGAUGUUAAGAAGAAUUAAUCUGUGCAAUAGCAAUAUAAUUUAAAUUCUGUCAGAAAUGGUACUGACCUAGUACUCUGCAAUAUUGCUUAAGUAUCAGACAUCUUUUUGACUUGGAGUUAACUUUUGUCUAUAAAUAUCAAUUGUAAACUGAGUCUCAGCAUUACCUCAAGAAAGUGGAGCAAUAGGUGCCUAGCUCUGUUUUAUUAGAAUCAAAGGAAAUAAAAUAUGAAAACUUGAUCCAGACUUUGUGACAUUUUCUAGAGACUACUAUUAUUCCUAUUGCACAUCUUCAAUUUCUUUAAUGAACUUGCAGUCUAGAGUACAACCAAAAUUUAAAGAAUUAUGUCAUCCUCACUCACACAUUCCAAUAGCUACAAAUUAUAGUGGCCUUAGAAAGUUAACCGUCUGGAUUCAUAUAACUGUCAUAAGACAGCAUGAUUUAUUAGAAGGAUUAUGUUUAGAGAUGACAUCAAUAUUUUUUUUCAUUUCUGCAGUUUACAGAAUCCUCCAGGAGGAAAGGCAUUCAGAGUAUUUGCUGUUGUGUGAAAUGGAAUAUUUGGAAGGGGAUCAUAAAGACUAUUCCAAAUGUCAUAUUUCUGAAGUUUGUAUAAAACUGUAACAUUACUGUACAGAAGAUAGCAGCUAUUUUCAGCCCCCCAAAAAUGCCAACUGCAUAAAAAUUGAUAGACAAAAUCUAUAAAAUAAAACAUGGGACAUUAGCUUUGGAAAAAGUAAUGAAUAUGUAAUGGUUUUAGAAAUCCUGUGUUAAAUAUUGCUAUAUUUUCUUAGCAGUUAUUUCUACAGUUAAUUACAUAGUCAUGAUUGUUCUACAUUAUAUAUAUUAUAUUAUAUGGUGCUUUGUAUAUGCCACUAAUAAAACAAAUCUCAACAUUGAAUGUGAAUGGCCCUCAGAAAAUUAUCCGGUGCAUUUAAAAAUGAUCAACUCUAAAAUGAAAAGAAAUCUUUUUAUCACGUUUUCCUCAGCUAUUGUUACCUGCACUAAAUCUCAAGUUGUUUUCCAUUGAAUACCUGAACAGGUUUUUUUUUUUCUUUUGUUAAGUUUAGGAAUAUAGAAUAGUAAAUCAUGUUAUUACACUUGCUAUUUUGUAUAAAAUAAUUCUUUAAUAUUCAAAUGAAUCUAUUAAAAUGUUUGGUUUUUUGGGAAUGGCUUUAAUGGUAAAAGUAGUGGUAUGAAAACAUUUCUAGUAAUCAUGUCGUAAAUAUAGCUUAAGCAUGGGUAGCUAUAGCUUCCUGUGCAAUGUUUAAAUUGAGGUCAUAACAUUGUCUUUUGUAUCCUGGCAAAUACUCCUGCAGGCCAGGAAGUAUAAUAGCAAAACAUUCUAACAAAGAUGAACUAAUGUAUUGUAUCAUCAUUGCUACUGGUCUUCAUAGUGGCAAAUGGCCUUGUGUAUAAAUGUUGUCAUAUUAUGGUACCUAUAGUGGUGAUAUAUUUGUUUCUAUGAAAAAUGUUUUGUGCUUUGAGACUAAAAAAUCUGUAAAAUGUUACUUUUGGUAUUUUUUCUGCUGGUGAAUUUAUGCAUUUCCUAUAAACAUAUUAAAAUUAAUAAUGUUUCAAAGUA